GAUGAACGCUGGCGGCGUGCCUAAUACAUGCAAGUCGAGCGAACAGACGAGGGGCUUGCUCCUCUGACGUUAGCGGCGGACGGGUGAGUAACACGUGGAUAACCUACCUAUAAGACUGGGAUAACUUCGGGGAACCGGAGCUAAUACCGGAUAAUAUAUUGAACCGCAUGGUUCAAUAGUGAAAGACGGUUUUGCUGUCACUUAUAGAUGGAUCCGCGCCGCAUUAGCUAGUUGGUAAGGUAACGGCUUACCAAGGCGACGAUGCGUAGCCGACCUGAGAGGGUGAUCGGCCACACUGGAACUGAGACACGGUCCAGACUCCUACGGGAGGCAGCAGUAGGGAAUCUUCCGCAAUGGGCGAAAGCCUGACGGAGCAACGCCGCGUGAGUGAUGAAGGUCUUCGGAUCGUAAAACUCUGUUAUUAGGGAAGAACAAAUGUGUAAGUAACUAUGCACGUCUUGACGGUACCUAAUCAGAAAGCCACGGCUAACUACGUG
rnacentral:rRNA from 1 species